ACCUUCUCUUUGCCACAUGGCUUAGAUCAAGUGUAGUAUCUGUUCUUUUCAGUUUAAUCUCUGAAAGUUCCUCACGGGGAACACAUUGAUUAUUCACAUUUUUGGCCUCUCGGGUGUGUUGGUCCCUGCGGCUUGCUGCAUACCUCUUUCCCACCGUGUCCCUGGUAUCACACUGCUUCCAGGUGACGCAAACGUUU
rnacentral:snRNA from 1 species